UUAAAACUCGUGUACAGAUCUUAAACUUGGCCAGUAAUAAAUCGACCUCGGAAUUGUGACCAUCUCCUCUUCCGUCUCCUGAUUUGGCCGGCAUUCCACUCUCAUCUCAUCCAGCACACUUCAUAUUUGCUCAUCGUCAUCGUCAUCAUAAUUAUCAUAAGUCAAAGGGAUCAUCAUAAUUAUCAUCCAGGGAGCUGAGAUCGGGGUCAAAGGGAGGUGUAAGUGAAGAUAUGGACGGGAAUCGGUCCGUAAGGGAGAUAGAGGGUCAUAAGCAUUCCAAAAAAAAAACUGGAACAACGCCACUGGUGCACUUCAUGUAAUUGAACGCGUUCCUUUUCAUAGAAGUUAUCUUUGUCAACACCGAAAACCAGGACCUGGUGAAGUGGAUUCUGAAGAAUUGCUGUUAAAACCCGGAAGAAGCAAUCUGAGUGAAAGUUGUGAAAAUAGUGUUUUUAGCCUCUGGCAGUACUUACCUCAACGACAAGCUGUAUGGCGCCUGCAAACCCACAUGAUUCGCAAUUUAAAUCUGUGAAAGCUGGUUCAAACAUUUGGCUUCACCACGCGAAACAUCGUCUAAAAUUUUAUGUUUUUAUCGACUUUAUGCAUUCUAAUUUUAUAUGCACAAGAGUUUUCCACAACAAAUUCUCGUAUUGUGUUUGUAUAUAGCCGAAAAUUGUUAAAAAUUAAUUAGGUGUGUUUCCAAACCUGCCUAUAAAUAUUUAAAUAUUUGA